UACGUAGGGUCCGAGCGUUGUCCGGAAUUACUGGGCGUAAAGGGCUCGUAGGCGGUCUGUCGCGUCGGUAGUGAAAACUCAGGGAUCAACCCUGAGCGUGCUUUCGAUACAGGCAGACUAGAGGUAUGCAGGGGAGAAUGGAAUUCCUGGUGUAGCGGUGGAAUGCGCAGAUAUCAGGAGGAACACCGGUGGCGAAGGCGGUUCUCUGGGCAUUACCUGACGCUGAGGAGCGAAAGCAUGGGGAGCGAACAGG
rnacentral:rRNA from 1 species